UACCGCCCACACUGUGAGCCGUGCCC
rnacentral:piRNA from 1 species